ensembl:lncRNA LINC02609 long intergenic non-protein coding RNA 2609
GCCGGACGGUAGAGGCCUCCCUUCCGAGGAGGCGGUGCUGGGGCGGGCGCAGGACUGCAGGCUGGGGCUCCGCUCCCCGGCGGGAGCCCGCGCGUGGUUCCCAGCGAAGUCCCCGCGCGGCUGGGCCCAGCGUGAGUAUUCUCCGCCCGCUGUCCUCCCCCUGGAGGCGGCAGCGCCCGUUUAUUUGAGGCUUCUAAUGUGAGGAAAAACACGGAAUGACAAGUGUGGGAAAGAGCAAGCACUAAAUUACUGUCAGAAAAAUAAACGGAGUAGCACAGUGCUGCUCGGUGAUUUACGGGGGCAAUUAGUCACCACCCCACGGCGCUGCUGAGGACAGCACGGCAGCAGACAAGUCAGGCCCAUGAGGAAGAAGAGGCUUUGCACUGCUCUCCAGACAACUUUUCAAACAACAAGAGAGGAUAUUUGAGCACAUUAGGUUUUGUGUCUUCAUUCUGGGUACCUACUCUUCAUAUUAUUCUACCAACUUAAUACAUAAACAUAUUUUUAGCACAAUAUGAACCUGUUCUAUGUGUGUUUAAAAGCCUCCAGCAGCAACUUUUUUCUCUCCCACUGUCCAAAGUUGGGUUUUCCCCAUCCCUUAAAAAACAAAACAAAAAAACCUUUCUUCACUCCAAAUUGUCCCCCUGGUGUGUGGUUUUGGUCUUUCUCAUUACUUCUUGCAUCUUGCUACAUGUUCUGCAUUUGCUCAGAGCCACUGGGUGCUAAGGAAUUUGGUCUGCUGCUCCUCUGGGAAAGUUUGGUAAGCUGGUACAAGGAGGUGAUGAACAAGGCUAAAUGAAAAUCAUACAUAAACUUCCCAAUAUUUGUGAACAUGUUCUUUAACAUACCAUACAUAGUUUCUAUGUAUAUGUAACAUAGCAAAACAAACUUGCUAAGGUAUAAUUAAUUGGUAUGCAUGCCUUCAUAAAUAUUCACCAUCAGAAGAAACCUAGAAUGAAAGGUUGUGAAAGAACCCAGGAAUGAGAAAGACUUUAUUGACUAAAGGCCAUGUCUAUGUAGGGGCAACAAUGAAGCUGUGGGUGAGCAAAUGAAGCUUCAUCAGGAGUUUAGUAUCCUUAUGUAGCAUUACCUAAGAAUGCUACCAUAGUAAAUUUCUGAAGUACUUUACCUGUUACAAAGAACGUUUGUAAUCUCCUUUUCUUAUUUGAUCUUGCCCUGGCUUUAGUCAGGAACACCUGCUCAGUUAGAAAUGUAUUCGGUGGGUAUGUACGCAGUUGGAGAAUGUGCCCCAACACACGCCGCCUUUGGCCUGUAUGUUGGAGUCCUAGAGAGGCAGACAAUGUUGAUGAGCUUGGUACCAGCAUGGUGCGCCAUUCAUCCGGACACAAUUUCUGAUAAAGAGGGUCACAACUGGGAGAAACCUCAGAUUCUACUUGCUUCUCUUCUCCACGUUAUUAGACUUUUUUUCCCCUCUUGAAUUUUAUAAGCACACUCCUUUUAAAACAAUUAAUUAAUAACGAGCACUGGGAUUUGAUGUAGAAUUGCGUAUUUGUAACUGCAAUGGCACUGGUUUUCAACUACCCUGUAACAAGGAAGCAAUUCUAACCAGCAAAAGAGGCAGACGUGUUUCUGUGCAACAUCACAGGCGUGUGAAAUUGUUCAGAUAUUGAGAUAUCAGGAGUGAUAUAAAUUGGAAAUUUAACCAAAAAUAUUUUCCAUCAGUGAACAAAGCCGAUUUUAAAGUGCCUCUUGCAUUUUUCAGAUCUUUCUCUUUCUUUUUCCCAAAGUCACAUUGUAGUUUCUGAUAAAGGAACACACUGGGAAAACUAAGCACAUAUUUAAUCAAUGAAAUUUAAGGUGUAAAAAUUCUGCAUUUCUGACAAAUUUAAUGUUCACUUUUUUCUUGAUUUAAAUAGAGCAUUCUAAAAAUAUUACCCCUAUAGGGGAUAAAUUUUUAUAUGCAUGUUAUUUUUCUUUACAAAGUGUGGGCUAGUAAAGAGUGAAAAAGACCUUGGCUAUUGUACUUAUUUCUUGAAAGAAAUAAUAGCAUCUUAAUGACUGGAUUCAAAUCUCUGCUUAUCACACAACUUCCGUACAGUUCAAAGAGAGGACUUGGAUUGAAUGAAAACAGAGAGCUGGGGCUUCCUACAUUCCCCUGUGUUUGUGUUCAUACAGAAUAUUUAUGCAAUAUUCUGACUUGGCCAUAAUCUGUAAUUCCUGCCUAUUAUUCUCAGUUGCAACUAUAAAUUCUAGAUUAAUGGUUAUAAUUUUGGUAAGGCAUACAUGAAAAGUUAUAUGUUCCUGCUUGAAAGGAGGAUCAUUAAAUAUUCAUUAUUACCACUCAAAUUAGUUGUCAUGCUCUGUGUAAUAGUUACCCGUUAUCAUUUCACUAGUUUGGAUUCAGCAGUAAGUGAACAGCAAUAUAUAGCUCAUAGCGCCAGAGGACUUUUUUUGUCGGGGAACAGGGAGAGAAAUGAUUUUAAAACCCAUUUGACAUAUUUAUGUUGACAAAUUAUUUAAAGGAAUUACUGUGUUGUAAUAAACAUGUUUGUAUGUUGGAAUAGGAUUGUGGCUAAAUUUGCUUCUAGCUGUUUAAUUACUCUUAUUAUGAUUGUGAAAAACAGUGCUUCUUCAAGUAGUUCCAAGGAAAAAAAUAGAAAAUGGAAAAGUUGAGCUAUUUCAGUCUUUUGCAGGUAUCUAACCUUGCCAUGAAAAAGCACUUUUCAUUUUUGUAAGUAGAUAUUGAAAUCUUGCUUUUUCAGCGAAGCUAGAUUGUAUAAUUUAUUAGUUUUCUCCACCUGGUAACACAUCCUUAAGAAAAAAAUUGCCAAAAGUAAAGCAUGAGAUGGAUUUUAAAAUAAAUGUUGUGGAUGAACACAUAUAGAGAUCGUGCUUUGCCAAUCCAUUUUGGGAAGAUAUGAGUAAAAAUAAAUCCAGAGAUAUUUUAAUGUAAAAACAUUUUGCUUUUGUCUUCCACAUACGUUGGUAUGCCAGUUCAGUUAUGUGAAGAUAUUAGGGCAGCCACAUUUUUUUUGGAUCACAGGUAUGAAUCAUUCCAUACUCCUCAGUAAUUUUAAAUUGGUUCUUUUCCCAUGGAAAAUAACCAUAAAUUUGAUUCUGAUCUCAUCUUUAGAGCUUUCUGUUUUAAAGAGUCAAAUUGCAGCUGAUGAACACAUUUUGCAUUUUUUCACAUUGCAUCUGGACUCUUCAUAACGAUGGUUUAUUUUAUCUUUUCUGCACAGAGGAGAGGAAAAAUAUAUAGGUCCAUGAAUCAAUCUAGAUAAUGGGGAAGGCUGACUGUAAUAAAUAAUACAGUAACAACCCUAAACUAAUGAGCUGUUGCUAAGGUACAUUUCAUAGGCUCAUCCUGUAUAUAAAAAGUCACUAAUAACCCCUUGGUGUAAUCAGAUGAUAAAGCUUUGCCAUAAGGCAACACCUGUGCAAUUAGAACUGCAGAUUCUUUUGCACGUUUCAUUAAUUUCAGGAUUUUGUAAAGGCACAAUGACUACACUAAUAAUCUAGUCUACUUGACUCCAUGUCUACUGGAAACAAAGUGUCUAAUUAGAUAAAGGUAAUUAAUUAGAGAUAAAUGGAGCUAAUCAGGCUCAGUUAACACUAAUUCUCUGAAUUAAGACAUUUUGGGACACCUACUAUCCCGCUGACUUUGAUAUUUUGCAUUAAGAAUAGGUUUAGAGGAGUCAGAAAAUACUAGCAUUUGAGAAUUGAGCAGUCUUUUGAUGACAUAUUUAGGUAUCUGAAGCUAAAGAAGAGUUUUUUUUUUUUCAUAUUGUACUAUUUCACCACCUUUCGAUAGCAGCUUAAAGAAUUCACUUUGUAGUUAUUCCAAUCUAUGCUAGUCUCCGUAUAAAU